ACUCCUACGGGAGGCAGCAGUGGGAAUAUUGCACAAUGGGGAACCUAGCUGCAGCCAUGCCGCGUGUGUGAAGAAGGCCUUCGGGUUGUAAAAGCACUUUCAGUAGGGAGGAAGGUAGUGUAGUUAACACCUGCACUAUUUGACGUUACCUACAGAAGAAGCACCGGCUAACUCCGUGCCAGCAGCCGCGGUAAUACGGAGGGUGCGAGCGUUAAUCGGAAUUACUGGGCGUAAAGCGCAUGCAGGCGGCCUGUUAAGUCAGAUGUGAAAGCCCGGGGCUUAACCUCGGAAUUGCAUUUGAAACUGGCAGGCUAGAGUCUUGUAGAGGGGGUGAGAAUUGAUCAGGUGUAGCGGUGAAAUGCGUAGAGAUCUGAAGGAAUACCAGUGGCGAAGGCGGCCCCUC
rnacentral:rRNA from 1 species